rnacentral:miRNA from 1 species
CCCUGCCGGCUGUCAGCACAGUGCCUGCGGACCGGGGAGGGAGAGCUCUGAUCUCCCUCCCCGGUCCGCAGGCACAUUGCAGGGCUGGCACU